GCGCGAAAACUUUACAAUGCGCGAAAUCGUGAUAAGGGAACCCCGAGUGCCCGUAAAUUCGGGCUGUCCAUCAGCGUAAAAAACUGGUGAAGAAAGGGCCGGGCAAGACCGGUGCCAGCCGCCGCGGUAAUACCGGCGGCUCGAGUGGUGGCCACUAUUACUGGGCUUAAAGCGUCCGUAGCUGGAUUGUUAAGUCUCUUGGGAAAUCCGCCGGCUUAACCGGCGGGCGUUCAGGAGAAACUGGCAAUCUAGGGACCGGGAGAGGUGAGAGGUACUCCAGGGGUAGGAGGGAAAUACUGUAAGACUUGGGGGAGCACCGGUGGCGAAGGGGUCUCACUAGAACGGCUCCGACAGUGAGGGACGAAAGCUGGGGGAGCAAA
rnacentral:rRNA from 1 species